rnacentral:rRNA from 1 species
AGUGAACGCUGGCGGUAGGCCUAACACAUGCAAGUCGAACGGCAGCACAGUAAGAGCUUGCUCUUACGGGUGGCGAGUGGCGGACGGGUGAGGAAUACAUCGGAAUCUACUUUUUCGUGGGGGAUAACGUAGGGAAACUUACGCUAAUACCGCAUACGACCUACGGGUGAAAGCAGGGGAUCUUCGGACCUUGCGCGAUUGAAUGAGCCGAUGUCGGAUUAGCUAGUUGGCGGGGUAAAGGCCCACCAAGGCGACGAUCCGUAGCUGGUCUGAGAGGAUGAUCAGCCACACUGGAACUGAGACACGGCCCAGCCCCCUACGGGGGGCAGCGGUGGGGAAUAUUGGAAAAUGGGCGCAAGCCUGACCCUGCCAUACCGGGGGGGGGAAGAAGGCCUUCGGGUUGUAAAGCCCUUUUGUUGGGAAAAAAAAGCAGCAGGUUAAUACCCCGCUGUUCUGGCGGUACCCAAAGAAUAAGCACCGGCUAACUUCGU